ACCUAGGAUGUUGGCGAGUCGAUUCAGUCCCUGAGCCGAUAAGUAUACCCCCGGAGGUUUUCAGUAAUCAUGGUGUGCAAGCCUGCAUGACAGGAAGCCUUUUUGAUUGCCGGAACCACCACUUGAACCCCAUGGUUCAAGGCACCAUUGACAGCGGCAUUCCCGGGC
rnacentral:other from 1 species